rnacentral:rRNA from 1 species
AUUGAACGCUGGCGGUAUGCUUAACACAUGCAAGUCGAACGGUAACAGGCCUUCGGGCGCUGACGAGUGGCGGACGGGUGAGUAACGCGUAGGAAUCUGCCUUAUAGUGGGGGACAACGUGGGGAAACCCACGCUAAUACCGCAUACGCCCUACGGGGGAAAGCGGGGGCUCGCAAGACCUCGCGCUAUGAGAUGAGCCUGCGUUAGAUUAGCUAGUUGGUAGGGUAAAGGCCUACCAAGGCGACGAUCUAUAGCUGGUCUGAGAGGACGAUCAGCCACACUGGGACUGAGACACGGCCCAGACUCCUACGGGUGGCUG